rnacentral:rRNA from 1 species
UACGUAGGUGGCAAGCGUUGUCCGGAUUUAUUGGGUUUAAAGGGUGCGUAGGCGGUCCUAUAAGUCAGUGCUGAAAUAUCCCGGCUUAACCGGGAGGGUGGCAUUGAUACUUGCAGGACUUGAGUAAAGUUGAGGUAGGCGGAAUUGACGGUGUAGCGGUGAAAUGCUUAGAUAUCGUCAAGAACACCGAUAGUGAAGACAGCUUACUAAACUUUAACUGACGCUGAGGCACGAAAGUGUGGGGAUCAAACAGG